CAUAACAUUUUUAUGUCGAAUUAAUAUUACUACGAGCAAAUUCGGUCGUCUAAUUCAUUGUAUAGAUCUAUACAAUGGUCUAAUUGCUUUGAAAAGUGUUAUUUUUUAUUACAAGUUUUAUGGAAGUGUUUAUAUUAUUGUAAAAAACUGCAUAAAAUGAAUUUAUAGAACUAAACCAUAAGAAAAGUGUGUGCUUAGUUUUAAGGUAUAAAUUGGGAAAGCCAUUAAAUGCACAAUAGAAGGUAGAAAAAAGAAAGGUUUAGACAGAAAAAAAACAAUGCGGAAAUAUGUUUAUUUUAUGAAGAAAAUGUUUAAAAUUUACAUAUGUACAAUAAUUCAAGCAAUAAAUAAAUAAAUAUGAUACAAUAUUUCGCGCUGUAAAUAACCAAUAAUCAAAAAUUUUAAUUUAGACAUAGCUUUUAAAAGUCUCUCACAGUGAAUACUACCCCGCAAAGAAUACACUUUACUCUUUUGCCCAUUGAUUUGACAAAGUACUACAUACUCAACAAUAUAUAUAUAUAUACAACUCAAAUCGCGGAAGAAUCGUGCACCUCCACCACCGUUUUCACAACGCUCACAGUCGGCAGCUCGACAGCCCUUAAAGUCAAUAGGGCAGUAGUGGUGGUGAUGUUUGUUGACUACAUUAUCACUUUGAUUUUGGAAUAAAACUUCUUUGGAAUACUAUUUCUGCUGGAAACCCCGUAAAUAAUAAUAAAGUUUAUACUGUUACCACAAUGUCAGCCGAUUCUGACAUGGAAUACUCUGACAACGAUUGUGAAUACGACGAUUAUUAUAAUUCAGCUGAAGACUGCGAUGUGGAACGGCUGGACCCAAAGAAAACCGAUCCUGAGUACUUCGAAUUUGUAUGUCUCACUGUGGAGGAGGUGGAAAAAUUGCUUAACGAGUCUGUAGAAAAACUCAAUACGAUUCUAGAGAUUACACCUUCACUAGCGAAAGUGCUACUACUGGAGCACCAAUGGGACAAUCAAGUGGUAGUAGACAAAUACCGAAAGGAUGCCAAUGCAUUGCUGAUAAUAGCGCGAAUAAAACCCCCAAAUCCAUUGCUCAGUAUGCCUGAUCCGUUAGCACCGUCCACCAGCAAAGACGCAGUUGCAUUUGGUACGAGUAGUAGUAGUGGUAGUAGCAGUAGCAGUAGUAAUGACGACUCGCCGCGCAACGCAUUGAUCUCAAUAAGUGUAUGCAACACAUACAAUGCAAUGACACCGGGCGGUGGAAUCAUCUCUCAGCGCUGUCAAAUGUGUCCGGUCUGCGCUAGUACUCAGAUGGGUGAUAAAUUCUUUAGUCUCUCUUGUGGUCAUGCUUUUUGCAAAGACUGUUGGUCAACGUUUUUCGAUACACAAAUAUUUCAAGGUAUUUCAACACAAAUCGGCUGCAUGGCCCCCAUGUGCAAUGUGCGAGUCCCCGAAGAAUUGGUCUUGACCCUAGUGACACGUCCCGUUAUGCGCGACAAGUAUCAACAAUUUGCCUUCAAGGACUAUGUAAAGUCGCAUCCUCAGUUGCGCUUCUGCCCCGGACCGAACUGUCAAAAUAUAGUUCGCUCACCAGAGAUCUGUGCUAAACGUGUCAUCUGCACUUCCUGUCAUACAUCAUUUUGCUUCAAAUGCGGCAUGGAUUAUCAUGCGCCCACUGACUGUGUAGUUAUUAAAAAAUGGUUAACGAAGUGUGCCGAUGACAGUGAGACCGCCAAUUACAUAAGCGCCAACACCAAAGACUGUCCGAAAUGCCACAUUUGUAUAGAAAAGAAUGGCGGUUGCAAUCACAUGCUGUGUUUUAAUUGUAAACAUGACUUUUGUUGGAUGUGCCUGGGUGAUUGGAAAACGCACGGAUCCGAGUACUAUGAAUGUUCUCGAUACAAAGACAAUCCGAACAUUGCCAAUGAAUCGGUACAUGUGCAAGCAAGAGAAGCGCUCAAGAAAUACUUACACUACUAUGAACGUUGGGAGAAUCAUUCGAAAUCCUUACAAUUGGAACAGCAAACCAUUGACCGACUGCGUGACCGCAUCAAUGAGAAAGUGAUGAAAGGACGGGGCACUUGGAUUGAUUGGCAGUAUUUGUUCAAUGCCGCUGCCCUGUUAGCGAAAUGUCGGUAUACACUGCAGUAUACAUAUCCAUAUGCUUACUUCAUGGAGAGUGGUUCGCGUAAGGACCUAUUCGAAUACCAGCAGGCUCAACUUGAAGCCGAAAUUGAGAACCUAUCUUGGAAGAUAGAACGUGCAGAAACCACAGAUUUGGGUGAUUUGGAGAAUCAAAUGGACAUUGCUGAAAAGCGUCGUACAACACUGCUCAAAGAUUUUUUCCCUGUGGACGUUUGAGUGCCAAUAAAAUGACUGCAGUAAAAUAGGGAAAUUAAUGUAUAUUUAAGUAAAUGUCUCAAUGAUUAAUCCAUAUGUGACUAUCUGGUCAACAUGACUGCUAAUACAAAUGGAUCAACUGCAAUACAAACCCAAUGCGCUAAAUAUUUGAGAGAAUAUUAAGGAUAAUCACACACAUAUACAUACAUGAACGGAUAGUUACCGAUAUUAUCUCUGGGCAAUAUCUACAUGGACAUGAGUGAAGUUCUGUUGAUGGAACAUUAUGAAUUCACAACAAAAAACUCUUACACAGCGCAUUUACAUUUCGAUUAGUUAAAUAGCAUUUAACAAUAAGUAUUUCAUUUUAGUUUUUCAAAUACCUGGGUAGUGUAAUCUACAAUUUUUAAUGUGAAUAUUUGACCAAAUUAGAAACUCGUUCGAAAGACGGCAACUUUAGCCAAUAUGGAACUGUUAGACAUGUAUUACCUUAUUAAAUUAGAAGUUCAACAAGACACAUGGAACUGAUUAUCGAACCCAGUAAGCGAUUCAAUUAUAAACUAACGAAGGACAUCUUAGGUGCAUUCUUUUCGUUUCAACGAAACAAUAUGUACAAUGUAUUGUAGUUAUGCAUAUACAUAUAAAGUAAUUGUAGUACUGUUGUAUAAAACUAACAAUUUAUUAGAUAUUUUAGUUUAUAUAUUUUUAUUUCAGUUGGAGGGGACUAGUUAUCUUCCAAGGAGUUUUCCAUGCUGAACGAAAUAUUUUAGAUAUAUGGUACCUAAAGUCGUCCGUUUAACAUUAUUUACCCAGUAUUAAAUGUAAAAUAUUAAUUAAUUUUUAUUUUUUGUUUACUUGAUAAGACUAUGUAAACUUUCAAUGUGAUGGAGAAUUUCGGGAGGUGAUAUUGAAUUCAGCGCCAAUAUUCUGAUGAAUAUGACUAGUUUCUUCCAAGUGAUACAUUCAAUGUCUCGCAAUCUAAUUUUACAAUGUGUAUAUAAUAUGUGGUAUUAAAUUGGCUUUAGAUUUUUGUUUAUUUUUAUACUUCUUUAUUUUAUUUAAUUGUAAAUUUUACUGUGUAUAGUUCGACUUAUACAUUUUGACUGAAUAAGUAAUAUUAUGAUAUAUAAUAAGUAUAGAAUAAUAUGGAGCUUCAACCGGAGCUCUUUAAUUGUAUAAUUAAUUAUAAUUAGAUAACGUAUCCCAACAAAGAAAGUGGAAUAUAUAUAAUGAAAACAACAACUCCUACAUCCCAGCUGUUAUGGUAUAACAUCAUGAUAUUUUCAAAUUGCAAUUGCAUCUAUAUACAUAUAUUGGGACACAUUUUUAUUUUAAUUACCUUGUAAAUUUUAUCAAAAACAUUAACAGCCAUUCAAUUGAAACAAUUGAUAUGAAAAAUAUGCUUUUAAAAACAUCAUGCAUAUGAAAGUGUAAUAAUUAGAAAAUAAAGUACAUUAAUAGCAAUAGCGUCAA